CGGGUCGUAACGACUGUUGCCCGGGUACGAACUCCCGUUCGAGGGAUUGACGGUACCGGGUGAGGAAGCACCGGCUAACUCUGUGC
rnacentral:rRNA from 1 species